UACCAGACUCCUACGGGAGGCAGCAGUGGGGAAUAUUGCACAAUGGGGGAAACCCUGAUGCAGCGACGCCGCGUGAAGGAAGAAGUAUUUCGGUAUGUAAACUUCUAUCAGCAGGGAAGAAAAUGACGGUACCUGACUAAGAAGCCCCGGCUAACUACGUGCCAGCAGCCGCGGUAAUACGUAGGGGGCAAGCGUUAUCCGGAUUUACUGGAUGUAAAGGGAGCGUAGGCGGUGAUGCAAGUCAGGAGUGAAAGCCCGGGGCCCAACCCCGGGACUGCUCUGGAAACUGCGGCGCUGGAGUACGGGAGGGGCAGGCGGAAUUCCUGGUGUAGCGGUGAAAUGCGUAGAUAUCAGGAGGAACACCGGCGGCGAAGGCGGCCUGCUGGACCGUGACUGACGUUGAGGCUCGAGAGCGUGGGGAGCAAACAGGAUUAGAUACCCUUGUAAG
rnacentral:rRNA from 1 species